CCCUCGUCCCGCCUCCCCUCCCGAAACCCUGCGGGCGACUCUCCCGAAAGAAAGAAAAAAAAAUACCGAGAGUCCAAACGGCGCGAGUCGCGAGAGGAAAAAGGACGCGGACGGGACGGCGGCGGUGCUCGCGGACGCCGGCGGCACAGGUGAGGAUGUCUUUGAUCUUAGGGUUAGGGUUUGGGAGAUUUGGGGGCCGCGCCGCCGCUGCUGCCCCGCCAGGCCAUGCGCGCCUCGUCUCCCUACCCCCACCUCUCCCAAAUCGAUCCCCACCUCUCCCGGCGCCAUCUUCACUCGACGGCCAGGCCGCUGCCCUGCGCGCCCUGCGACGAGCCACGGCGCGCCCCGCGAGGAGCCACUGUAGGCCGCCGCGCGCCUGGUGCCGUCAAGGGCGGCUCCGCCCCGUUCAGGCCACCGCCCUGCGCGCCCCGCGAGGAGCCCCGGCAGGACGCCGCCCGACGCGCCGCGCGAGAAUCACGUCCAGCAGGUCGCCGCCCUGCGCCCCGCGAGGAGCCCAUAUAUCCAGCAGGCCGCCCGCUGCAUGUCAUUGCCGGAGAUCUGUGUGGAUCUGAGCCAUGAGAUCAUGGACAGCAUGGCCUGAUCUAUACGGCCGUGGGGAUUGGGGGCCACGGCAUGCGGCAGCGGCAACAGGCGGCAAUACUGGAGCUUGCAGAGCACACUCCUCGCCUGAUCAAUACGGGUGGUGCGUUUGAGUGUGUCAAAUAUAGCAUUUAGUAUACAGAACAUUUUCCCACAAGAUCAAUUUUAGAUCUGAAUUUAGAGAAUGUAAGCUUUGUUUAAUAUAAGAACUGUCAGUAAGUUACAUUUGAUUAUUGUCAAUUAGUCUGUUACCAUACAGCCUGGUCCACAUUUGAUUGAUGGUAUUUUGUCCAUGUUACAUUAGUCUGUUACUUGAUGUCAAGUUAUACUAAUGGGAUAGCGGUUUACAAAAUUUGGACGAUGCAAUGAAAUGUAAACAUAAUUCACAAAAAUCAUUGUCUCCUUAUGAGACUAUGGAGAAGCAUUUUUUCCUGAUUCUCAGCUAAUGAUUAAAUAGGUGUGGUAUACACUCACACACACUGGUUACUCUGCUAUUGAUCUUCAGGGAGAAUCUCUCCUAUGCCAACUGUAUUUUUACGGUUGCAGGUCAUUCAAUACCAACCAUUUGAUUGGACAGAUUACCCUAUAGUUUCAGCGCUCAAUGGACUUGCAAGCUGUAAGAGCACUCUGACUUUACUUGGCUACACGAUGUUGUCCUAUAUACACAAUCAUUAGCUUUACUUGGCUAAACAAUGUUAGCAUGGUGACUUGUAUAUGUUUAGGAGAAUUUUGGUAUUGUGAAUUACAUAAUUUUCUGAUAUGCAAACUGUCAGCUGGUCUGAAAUUUUGCUCUGAAAAAAAUGAAUGCUCUGACCAAACUGAACAUUAUUGUCAACAAAAACUGAAUUUAUGACAGGUAAAACCAUUUGAAUGCGAGUGUGUGAUCUUGGAUAUCAUAACAUACUUUGUAUUAUGUCAUUUUAAAUUUAUUAUAUGAAAGAUUGCAUUGUCUAAUUGGUUUUAUUUUAUAUUUAUCUUUCCAAUGAUUGUGUUCUUUCUGAUAAUUUUGGACUAAAACUAUGUUGUGCAGAAAUUUGUGUCCUAAUCUCUUUGUCAGUACAAUUGCAGAUUUUUAGCUCCUAUGGUGACAGAGAGGUGGGCAUGGGUGCGACGCUGCAGGAAUUUGAUAUUUGUGCUACAUAAUGUCAGGGACAAGUCAAUGUGUCUCUUGAGCUGAGCAAUGUUCUUAUGGCGUCGCCUAGGCGUCACCUAGGCGACAAGGCGCUCCCCUGUUUUGGCCUGCCUAGGCGUUUUAGCCCGCCUAGGCGUCGCCUUAGCCCGCCUAGGUGGCUAGGCGGUGGUGACUCGCCACAACUCGCCUUAACGCCGUAAGAACAUUGGUGCAGAGCUCAUGGGACUCCAACAUCUCUAUCCAAGCUUGUGCUUUAGUACUCUUUGCUAAAGGAGGACGCGUCACUGCAUCUGGUUGAACAGAGCAUGAUUGGGGAGACCCACCUGCCAGAGCUAUCCAAUUGCCUCUUGGUUUACUUAUGAUUGGGUUCGGAGAUGGUGGAAGGUGGAGUCUUGGGAAGAGUUUGUCACUUUCUCUAGGCUUAAACAUAUCUGGAUGCAGACCUAUUUGCUUUUCGUUGAUCAAUGGUAUUAAUAUCCACUAAAAAUUGGAUCAUGAUUGAAGCAGAGAGCUAAAGGGGCUGCCGCGAGUGUGAAUGGGUUGCUAGAGAAGGCCAGGGCGCUAGGCCUGCAUAGGUGUCCAAAAGUUCAGUGUUCUAAAAGUUGCUGGAGGGUGCAGCGCGGGGUCGGCCGCGGCCGCCUCCGCUAGGAUGGUGAGGAGGCGGGGCCUCGAGUAGGCCUCGAUCAGACGCCGCAGGAGCCCGGCGAGGAUAGCGCCGAGGGGUCAGGCUCAGAGUCGGAGCCGAUGGCCGGGAAACGGUCUUGCAGCUGUUGAUAUGGACGACGCCCAGUACCUCCUCGACGGAAUGCCUCCAAGGCAAACUGCUGACUGGACAAACUUUCGGCCUAGACAUCCUGGCCCAUGUCUUACUCGCGUUCGAUGAAAUUGUUGCUACAGUUAGCCUUUGCAAGUAAUGCAUCGUUUGAUUAAAUUCUCUUAAGCUUUUUGUGCUAUCUUUUAGGUUUCUACUUUGUGUAUAUAUAUGUUUUUCAUUCCCCUACGUCUUGCAUAUGCACGAUUUAGGUUUCUACUUCGUACAUGUGUUGUUUUUUUUUACCCGCAGCGUUAGCACAGGCACUUACUAGUCUGUUAUAAGACCGGCAACCUGGGCCUGGGCCCCUCCGGCCUUUCACGUGGCGCAAAACUGCCGCGCACUGCCCCGCCCUUGCAUCCCCUCAGCGCCGCCAGCUCGCUAGUUCGCACCACCAUCGCCGACGGCCGGGCUAGGGUUUCGCUCCAGUGCGACGCCAUUGUGCGCUGCUCCAGGGCUCGCUCCCCACACGCAUGGCCGCCGCCACCUCGCGGAUCGACUUGUCCAGUGAUCCUCCUCCCCGCUCGCCCUCCUCGUUGCUUGUCAUGGCCUCGUCGGCGCCGCAGGUACGAAUCCCCCUUCGCCCACUCACCCCGCUCGCUGCGGCCUCGCCGGUGCCGCAGGUACGAAUCCCCUUUGCCCGCCCCCAAGACCUCCCCGCUCGACCUCCUCAUCGCUCGCCGCGGCCUCAUUGGCGCCACAGGUACGAACCCCCUUCGCCGGCUCCCAGAUCCGCAAGUCUCACUGGCGUGGCCUCGGCAAUGCCCACGCUCGUGCUCGCGCCGGGGCGAUGACAGGGCCUCGGCUGGCCGCCUUGCUGCGGCAGCUGUGCCACUACCUGUCGUGGGUGCCACAGCUCCUCCCCGCUGGUCUCCCCUCCCCGCCAGGCGCUUCCAUCCCCUCCUGGCCGGGCACUCCCCUCCCCGCCGAGCGCUCCUUUCCUGCCCCGGUGUCUGCUCCCGCCGGCCACCGGCCAGGCCAAAGAUUGUCGAACAAGAAGAAGGACAGAAAAUGGCAUAUUAAAACAACCUUGUAAGUGCCAAAGAAGUUCCUAGUGGCAAACAGCAUGACGGACCCUAUGAGGUAGAAAUUCUUCUAUACCAAUGCAUCGAUUGGACUUCAGUUUUCGAUUGUAGUAUGGUGUACAUAUGUAAUGAGUUCUAGCAAAUUUUCUCUUAAGUGCUUUUUGUUUGCUAGUACAACAGAGAAAACCUUACGAAUGAUUGGAGUAACUAUGUGGUUAUUUGACUUCAAUUUUUUAUGUGGGACUGAAGUGAUAGGAGCAGAGGUUUUCUCUGUAUAACUACAAGGCACAACUGUACCAGCAGUAUGUGCUUCGGUGCUUGUAAUAUUAUUCACAACUGUACCAACUGUAGAUCCCUGGUUAUUCACAGCACAUGUCAAUGCUCACUGUGGUUUAUGGAUACAUGCUAAUAUAAUCUACUGAUAUGUGAUGGAAAAAAACUUGUCAGAUAAGUCAGUAUAUGCAAGUUGCCUGUAUCGGUCCAAGCAGCAGCCAAGUUGACAGUUGUUUCCAUCACCAUCUUGUACUUUAAAAAGUUAGAAGUAUCUAUCCAGUUUGUGUGUCAAAUCAGGUUCGCAAAUUCUCUGUGGACAUGUUUCUGAGAAGAUAAGAAAUUUACUUGUGACACAUCUAUAUAAUCUUCAUGAUGCAGACAAACACAAAUGCAUUUUUCUAUGCUAGUUACGACAUAUCGAAAAUAAAGUUUGUUUCCCUUUCAUGAACCAUGCUAUUGAUGAUGGAGUCAAUCUUUUGAAACUAACUGUUUUAUACAUGGCUUUCCAGCUAACCUCUUGAAAUUCUUGCAAACUUCAGCCAGGGUAAGCAAUUCUAAACUUUUUGCAUCUCACUUGAUCUGAUAGAAUCUGAAGGUAGGUGAAUGACUAGUUCUCCCAGCCAUGCAACAAUGAGCUAGGGAGCAUUAAAAUUUAGCACCAAGCUAUUUCUCAGUUCAGUUCUGUUCAUUUCCUGGUUUAAUUUGGUAUCCUAGCCUUCAGUUUUAGACAACCUAUUUUAUUUACACUCUUCUGUUUGUCAAGAGUGUAUAUUAAUAAGGGGCCUUUUUGCUGCAGAUGUUAUUUUUUUCUGUUAGUUUUGCCUUCUGUUAUUUUUUCUUGGCAUAUACACUUAGAUCAAUGAUGAUUUCUGCUUGAGGUUUAUUUUGAUGGGCAAUCCAUGUAGACAUGACAAUCAGCAGUGCAAUGUUUCUUAACGAAACCUGAAAUCAGACCUUUUCUUUCUUGAGCAGUUUGUGGCAACUACAGGCACCAAUAUGCCGAAGAAUGACAUGAGAAAUGCAAUGGACAUCAGAAAGAUGAAGACCUAAGGUUCAGAUCAAGGGACAAGCAGGGAGGAAGCACAACUACAGCUGGACAUCAAUGCCAAGUUUUGAGAGAAAGGACUUACUACCGACCCCAUCAGCGAAAGUGUAUUGUCCAGCAUUCAAGAAGAGCUUGCCGCCAUCUUAGUGUCCCAUGUAUUUGACAAGAAGGGAAAUUUUCAAUUAAUGUGCUAAUCUAGUUUUCUGGUACAAAACAGUUGCACUGAGUAUUGAACCUGCAACUAUAUAUAUACGUGCAUGUGAACAUGUAACUUUAUCUGCUUGUGAACCUAUAUUGUUGUGAAUUGUGGUUAUCCAAUUGUAUGUAGCAGCUGACCAUAUUUUUUUUUAUAAAUUCACAUUGGUGACGGGCAAAA